AAGUCGUAACAAGGUUUCCGUAGGUGAACCUGCGGAAGGAUCAUUCAUAAUUGAGUGUUUUAUGGCACUCUUUAAAAAAAUCCAUAUCCACCUUGUGUGCAACGUUUUUGAACUCUCUGGCAUUAAAAAGCCAAGAGGGUUUGAUUAACUUAACACCUUUAAAGCAGUUUGUCUGAAUAUCUAUUUCUGAAUAAACAUAAUUCAAAAAUACAACUUUCAACAACGGAUCUCUUGGCUCUC
rnacentral:misc_RNA from 1 species